rnacentral:rRNA from 1 species
GCUUGUCUCAAAGAUUAAGCCAUGCAUGUCUAAGUAUAAGCCUUUAUAUGGUGAGACUGCGAAUGGCUCAUUAAAUCAGAAACUGUUUAUUUGAUAGUGCCUACUACAUGGAUACCUGUAGUAAUUCUAGAGCUAAUACAUGCAUCAAUCCCCGACUUCCUGGAAGGGGUGUACUUAUUAGAUGGAAACCAAUGCGGGGCAACCCGGAUUCUGGUGAUUCAUAAUAAUUAUCGGAUCGAUCGUAUGAUCGAUGCAUCAUUCAAGUUUCUGCCCUAUCAGCUUUGGAUGGUAGGGUAUUGGCCUACCAUGGCAUUAACGGGUAACGGAGAAUUAGGGUUCGAUUCCGGAGAGGGAGCCUGAGAAAUGGCUACCACAUCCAAGGAAGGCAGCAGG